GAUGAAGAACGUAGCGAAAUGCGAUAAGUAAUGUGAAUUGCAGAAUUCAGUGAAUCAUCGAAUCUUUGAACGCACAUUGCGCCCGCCAGUAUUCUGGCGGGCAUGCCUGUUCGAGCGUCAUUACAAACCUCAGGCCCCCGGGCCUGGCGUUGGGGAUCGGCGGAAGCCCCCUGCGGGCACAACGCCGUCCCCCAAAUACAGUGGCGGUCCCGCCGCAGCUUCCAUUGCGUAGUAGCUAACACCUCGCAACUGGAGAGCGGCGCGGCCACGCCGUAAAACACCCAACUUCUGAAUGUUGACCUCGAAUCAGGUAGGAAUACCCGCUGAACUUAAGCAUAUCAAUAAGCGGAGGA
rnacentral:misc_RNA from 1 species